CCAGGCUAUGUGGGGUGGCCAGUCCUCUUCUGGCUGUGCCGGGUGGAGAUUAUAACAGAACAUGGCCAAGAUGUUCAAAUGUUCAUAAAUGAUCAGCAUGGUCGAAUAAUAAUAAGGCAGAACAGUUGAACCUGGGGCAGCAGCACAGUCAGGUGGAAGUUGAAACUGGAGCAGCAGCAUGGCCAGGUGGACUGGGGACAGCAAGGAGUCAUCAUGUCAGGUAGUCCUGGGGCAUGGUCCUAGGGCUCAGGUCCUCCGAGAGAGAGAAAGAAAGAGAGAAGGAGAGAAUUAGAGAACGCACACUUAGAUUCACACAGGACACCGAAUAGGACAGGAGAAGUACUCCAGAUAUAACAAACUAACCCCAGCCCCCCGACACAUAAACUACUGCAGCAUAAAUACUGGAGGCUGAGACAGGAGGGGUCAGGAGACACUGUGGCCCCAUCCGAGGACACCCCCAGACAGGGCCAAACAGGAAGGAUAUAACCCCACCCACUUUGCCAAAGCACAGCCCCCACACCACUAGAGGGAUAUCUUCAACCACCAACUUACCAUCCUGAGACAAGGCUGAGUAUAGCCCACAAAGACCUCCGCCACGGCACAACCCAAGGGGGGGGCGCCAACCCAGACAGGAUGACCACAACAGUGAAUCAACCCACUCAGGUGACGCACCCCCUCCAGGGACGGCAUGAGAGAGCCCCAGUAAGCCAGUGACUCAGCCCCUGUAAUAGGGUUAGAGGCAGAGAAUCCCAGUGGGAAGAGGGGAACCGGCUAGGCAGAGACAGCAAGGGCGGUUCGUUGCUCCAGAGCCUUUCCGUUCACCUUCCCACUCCUGGGCCAGACUACACUCAAUCAUAUGACCCACUGAAGAGAUGAGUCUUCAGUAAAGACUUAAAGGUUGAGACCGAGUUUGCGUCUCUGACAUGGGUAGGCAGACCGUUCCAUAAAAAUGGAGCUCUAUAGGAGAAAGCCCUGCCUCCAGCUGUUUGCUUAGAAAUUCUAGAGACAAUUAGGAGGCCUGCGUCUUGUGACCGUAGCGUAC
ensembl:lncRNA